AAUAGAUACCCGGGUAGUCCACGCCGUAAACGAUGAGUGCUAAGUGUUGGGGGGUUUCCGCCCCUCAGUGCUGCAGCUAACGCAUUAAGCACUCCGCCUGGGGAGUACGGUCGCAAGACUGAAACUCAAAGGAAUUGACGGGGGCCCGCACAAGCGGUGGAGCAUGUGGUUUAAUUCGAAGCAACGCGAAGAACCUUACCAGGUCUUGACAUCCCGGUGACCACUAUGGAGACAUAGUUUCCCCUUCGGGGGCAACGGUGACAGGUGGUGCAUGGUUGUCGUCAGCUCGUGUCGUGAGAUGUUGGGUUAAGUCCCGCAACGAGCGCAACCCUUAUUCUUAGUUGCCAUCAUUCAGUUGGGCACUCUAAGGAGACUGCCGGUGAUAAACCGGAGGAAGGUGGGGAUGACGUCAAAUCAUCAUGCCCCUUAUGACCUGGGCUACACACGUGCUACAAUGGACGGUACAAACGGUUGCCGACCCGCGAGGGGGAGCUAAUCCGAUAAAACCGUUCUCAGUUCGGAUUGUAGGCUGCAACUCGCCUACA
rnacentral:rRNA from 1 species